GAUGAAGAACGUAGCGAAAUGCGAUAAGUAAUGUGAAUUGCAGAAUUCAGUGAAUCAUCGAAUCUUUGAACGCACAUUGCGCCCGCCAGUGUUCUGGCGGGCAUGCCUGUUCGAGCGUCAUUUCAACCAUCAAGCCCCAGGCUUGUGUUGGGGACCUGCGGCUGCCGCAGGCCCUGAAAACCAGUGGCGGGCUCGCUGUCACACCGGGCGUAGUAGAUUUUAUCUCGCUCUGGGCGUGCUGCGGGUUCCGGCCGUUAAAAAACCCUUUUAACCCAAGGUUGACCUCGGAUCAGGUAGGAAUACCCGCUGAACUUAAGCAUAUCAAUAAGCGGAGGA
rnacentral:misc_RNA from 1 species